UACGAAGGGUGCAAGCGUUACUCGGAAUUACUGGGCGUAAAGCGUGCGUAGGUGGUUUGUUAAGUCUGAUGUGAAAGCCCCGGGCUCAACCUGGGAAUUGCAUUGGAUACUGGCGGGCUAGAGUGCGGUAGAGGGUAGUGGAAUUCCCGGUGUAGCAGUGAAAUGCGUAGAGAUCGGGAGGAACACCUGUGGCGAAGGCGGCCCCCUGGUUGGAUACUGACGCUGAUACGCGAAAGCGUGGGGAGCAAACAGG
rnacentral:rRNA from 1 species